rnacentral:rRNA from 1 species
ACAACGACUCUCGGCAACGGAUAUCUCGGCUCUCGCAUCGAUGAAGAACGUAGCGAAAUGCGAUACUUGGUGUGAAUUGCAGAAUCCCGUGAACCAUCGAGUCUUUGAACGCAAGUUGCGCCCGAAGCCAUCUGGUUGAGGGCACGUCUGCCUGGGCGUCACGC